CACUGCUCUGACGGAUGCUUUUAUUAGACCAAGCCGCUGAGGACUUGAGGGUUCGCUCUCCUGUCUGACUCGUGUAAUGGUGACUCUGGAUAACCAAUUCUGACAAGCGCACGUACUUCUCUUCUGAGCGAGACGGCGCUGCCACUUUCGAGUGUCUGCCUUAUCAGCUAUCAACCGUUCGUUAUGCGCGACCGAUGGCUUUGACGGGUAACGGGGAAUCAGGGUUCGAUUCCGGAGAGGCAGCCUGAGAGACGGCUACCACGUCCAAGGACGGCAGCAGGCACGCAAAUUACCCAAUCCCAGCAAAUGGGGGAGGUAGUGACGAAAUCUAACGAUGCGGGCGCCCUUUCUGGGGCCCCGCAAUCGGAAUGGGCACUUUCUAAACAACCUGUUGAGAACCUACUGAAGGGCAAGUCUGGUGCCAGCAGCCGCGGUAAUUCCAGCUUCAGCAGCAUCUAUUAAAGUUGCUGCGGUUAAAAGGCUCGCAGUUGAAUGUCUGUAUCGAGCGCAGGUCAGGUGGACGUUGGGGCGUGGAAGUACGGGCAGUUGGAUGUCCGUGGGGUCUUCGUGCUCAACGGCUCCUUCGGCUUUUCCACACACCCCCGUCCGUGACAAGCCUCCUCGCUCGGGUACAUAACGGGAAUCGGUCAAACGGAGUGUGGUUGGAGGUUGGGGUGCGUGGCUUCGGUUGCGUGCUUCUUCUUUCGGCUGCGUUAAGCUCCAUCGGUUUCACGGUCACCUUGAGUAAAUCAGAGUGCUCAAAGCAGUCGUAGGGGCCUUGCGCCCUGUGAACAGUCUUGACGGACUGACUUGGUUUUGCAUGGCAUGUCGGAAGACGACGUCGUGUGCUGGCUCAGAGGAUAAAUCAGUGGUACAAGCCAGCCUCGACGUAAUGAUUAAAAGGGACGGUCGAGGGCAUUGGUAUUGCGAGGCGAGAGGUGAAAUUCUGUGACCCCCGCAAGACCUCCUGAAGCGAAAGCGUCUGCCAAGGACGUUUU
rnacentral:rRNA from 1 species